rnacentral:guide_RNA from 1 species
AUAAAACACAAAUACACUGAGUAAAGAGAGGGAAGAUGUAUAAUUU